rnacentral:rRNA from 1 species
UUGCCACGCCCGCUCAAGAAACUACAAAGGAAUUGACGGGGCCCGCACAAGCGGAGGAGCAUGUGGUUUAAUUCGAUGAUACGCGAGGAACCUUACCUGGGCUCGAACGUAAGAUGACUGUAGGUGAAAGCUUACAUCUCUUCGGAGCAUUUUACGAGGUGCUGCAUGGUUGUCGUCAGCUCGUGCCGUGAGGUGUCGGGUUAAGUCCCAUAACGAGCGCAACCCCUACCUUUAGUUGCCAUCAGGUAAUGCUGGGGACUCUAAAGGAACUGCCUACGCAAGUAGUGAGGAAGGCGGGGAUGACGUCAAAUCAGCACGGCCCUUACGUCCAGGGCUACACACGUGCUACAAUGGCCGAUACAGAGGGCAGCUACCUGGUGACAGGAUGCAAAUCUCCAAAGUCGGUCUCAGUUCGGAUCGGAGUCUGCAACCCGACUCCGUGAAGUUGGAUUCGCUAGUAAUCGCGCAUCAGCCAUGGCGCGGUGAAUACGUUCCCGGGCCUU